CCCUUUGGUUUGGAACAACCUGUCGAAAGAUGGGCUAAUUCCAGAUAAGACCACAGGUUCUAUGGAACCAGCGGGCAAAGAUGGCCUCUUAAUUAAAGCUAUCGCCAUAGGAUGAGCCCACGCACCAUUAGCUUGUUGGUAGGGUAACGGCCUACCAAGGCUGCGAUGGUUAGCUGGUCUGAGAGGAUGAUCAGCCACACUGGAACUGAGACACGGUCCAG
rnacentral:rRNA from 1 species